CAAUCAGCAGGGCCACCUCCCACCUCCUCCCCCCACCCCCAGUCUCAGGCCAGGCAGAACUUUUUAGCUAACCGGUUCACACUCAAACAAGUUUCCAGCUUUUGGUACAGGCUUCCCCCACCCCUGGGGUGAUGGGGGCUCAUGUCCAGCCCUCUCCCUCCGUCCCAAGGCCAGGAUCUUCAUUCCCUGGGACCCUUCUAAGGUCCCAUAUCGUCUGAGGUUCUAGUCAGGGGCAGGUUCAGGGUCUGUCCCUUGGGCACGCUGUACCCACAGUUCCUGCUCCACAGCCUGGAUUGAGGGGCAGCUAUGUCCUGUAUCAGGACGGUGCAGCAGGUGGCGGCUACAGGGCAUCAGGCUCGUCAGGUUAAUCGAUCCUUAUCCAUGACCACGAGGCCGACCUUUCUACUCACUGCUGCGUAUCGCAAGGUCUGGUGUUACCUACCUGAGUGCCUCCAGGUCUCCUCUCCGGGACAGAUGUGCAGCAACGUGUGUCUCUUAUACUUGAGUGUUAGGAACUCCCAUCACAGUUGCCUAAGUACCCUGAGGUUUCACUUCUAUCAGGAGACAACACCCCGCCUACAGGAGGAUGACAAAUGCUCACCUCACACACCUGCAUGUUACGAAGUUGCAACUCCUGCAAGAGUGAGGACAUCACGUCUCCACCGCAUGGAGGGCGAUCUCCCCUCCUCUCCCUGAGUGCCGAAGGCCUCAUCUCUACCACCUGAGUGUCACUUUGGGGUGUCUUCUCUACCCGAGAACCCAGAGUCUUCUACCCCCUACCUGAAGGCCAGGAGGUGCAUCUCACCUAGUGCGCCGCGAUUUCAUCAGCCAUACUGAGGAGCCAGGAAGCCUCCCUCCCCACCUAAAAGUAUGAGCUUUUAGCAUCUCUACCUGAAUAUCACACGGUCUCCUUUACUGGCUAAGUGUCUGACUGUGGUUUCCGUCUCACUGCUGAGGGUCUUGGGGUCGCAUCUCCCCUACCCGAGGGUAAUGAAAUCUCCUAUCUCCCAUUCGAGUAUAACCGGGUCUUCUGUGCUCUCCCUGAGUGUCAGGAGAUCUGGUCUCUCGUGUCUUCUGCUAGAUCUGGAGCCUCCAUCUCUUCUCUCUUCAUGACCGAGGGGUCUCCUCUCCCCUAUUUGAGUGUGACAAGGUCUUAUGGUCCCUACCUGCAGAUCAGGUGUUUCCAUCUCUUCCACUUAAUUGUCGGACCUCUCAUCUCCUCUACACAACUGUCCCCAAAUCUGCUGUUUGGGGACAGCAGAUUUGUUGUAAUAGGAGAGGUGUGGGAGUGCUGACUGGCUGCCUGCUAAGGUAACCAAAAAGGCUUUGGAAUCACACUUCAAGAAACGACAACAGGAAUUCAAGAUGGAACCAUUAGAGUUUUGAUUGUGUAAGAAAACACCUAUUCAGGAGUUUUUACAGGAUUCUGAUGGGCACAAAAUUGAUAUGGUAUUUAGGUCCAUGAGAAUCAUUUAGCAGAAUGAUGUAAACAUUUAUUUUGAUGCCAAUAUGUACAAUUUUCCAGAAAUCACAACCUUGGCAAGUAUUUAAACAUGAUGAAGAUGUUAGUCAUAAACUUCAAGAUGAAAAGUAGUACCUGGUUUUUCAAAACACUUAGAGUCACUCAUAACAAAGUUGAAGACCCAAGGUCUAGAUUCUAGAAGACAACUACUGUGUGACUUCACAGAGUAACACUCACUUCUGAUUCUAGAAGGGGCCGCCAGUCACAGCACCUGCCCCAUGGCCACAGGAAUGGCUGGAGGGAUAGGCAGGUGGCCCACCCAGGUUAAUUUUGUCAUUAACCCUAAUGGAGGAAGCAAACAUCUGAAAUGAGUGACGUCAUCUGGCUUCUACACUCUGUUCCAAAGCACAGGGGAGAGAGGAGGGUACCAGACAGGACCCUGAGGCCAGAGGACACGGUCCCAACGGCUACCGGGGGCUUGACUCUGGCCAAGCUAGGGCUCCCAGCUCCCCAGAUGAUGGGUUCCCCAGCCCCAGCCCCUUCCACCUCCCUCCCUCCCUGCCCUCCUGCAUUCCCACUCUCAUGUCCUCAGGCUUACCCCAGCCUGCUUCCUGCUCCUUGCCUCCGAGCCCCUAUCCUGCCCCCACAACGUGAUCCUGCAUCCCGAUCCCUAGCCCCCUCAGGCUCCCCAGGGAUGCCCUCUGCAGAGCGGACACCAAGGUGUCCACAGGUCCUCGGACAGGGGUGCCUGGGCUGAGGGAGGCGAGUGCGCUGCAGCCAGGAAGAGUGCCGGUGGUGAAGAUUCUGACUCACCUCCCCCAAACCUCUUGGGGUGGCAGUGCCAUUUCCACAGAAGGUUUGCUGCCUCUUCCUUCCUUCUGUGGAAAACUGACCCAGGCCCAGAGAGACCCAGAGCUCCACGUGCAGCUCCGAGAACUCCAGCCCCUCCCCCACAGAGGCACAGGCCCAGGGCGAGUCGGGGUCCCACCCCCACCCCUACACUUAGACAUCCCGCCGCCGGCCCGUUCUCUCUGACUUCCUUCACGGCCUCUUCUAUACCAUGACUACAGCUUCUAACUUAAAAGUGAAAAUUAAAAAUUUGAAAA